UGUGAAUUGUGUUCAAAGUCAUCCAUUUGAUUGUGCCAUCGCUACUAGCGGGAUCGACAAUACCAUAAAGCUAUGGACUCCAACUGAUCCAGUCCCGUCACUCAUAGCCGGUGGAGCGGUCGGACCGCAGGCAGCCGACGUGUUGGCUGUAAUAGAGAAUAAUCAGCGCAGACUCUGCCGUAAUAGAGAAGCCAUACUGCCUUUUGAAAUUUUAGAGCGG
rnacentral:misc_RNA from 1 species